rnacentral:rRNA from 1 species
CUGGUUGAUCCUGCCAGUAGCCAUAUGCUUGUCUCAAAGAUUAAGCCAUGCAUGUCUAAGUACAGGCCUCAUUAAGGUGAAACCGCGAAUGGCUCAUUAAAUCACACCUAAUAUACUGGAUAGUAACAGUUACUUGGAUAACUGCGGUAAUUCUGGAGCUAAUACAUGCGUCAAAACCCCGAACUUACGUGAGGGGUGCUUUUAUUAGAUCAAAACCAAACGACUUCGGUCGUUCACUUGGUGAUUCUGAAUAACUUUGGGCAGAUCGCACGGCCUCAUGCCGGCGACAUAUUCUUCUAAGGUGUGCCCUAUCAACUGUCGACUGUGGCAUAGACGCCCACAGUGGUUUUGACGGGUAACGGGGAAUCAGGGUUCGAUUCCGGAGAGGGAGCCUGAGAAACGGCUACCACUUCUAAGGAAGGCAGCAGGCACGCAAAUUACCCACUGGUCGAAGACCGAGGUAGUGACGAAAAAUAACGAUACCGGACUCAUCCGAGGCCCGGUAAUCGGAAUGAGUACACUUUAAAUCCUUUAACGAGGACCAAUUGGAGGGCAAGUCUGGUGCCAGCAGCCGCGGUAAUUCCAGCUCCAAUAGCGUAUGUUAAUGUUGUUGCGGUUAAAAAGCUCGUAGUUGGAUCUCGGCGGGUAGGGGGCGGUUCGAUAUUUGUCGGUACUGCUCCAUUUACCCGUGUUUUUGACAGAGGGUUCAGGGUGCUCUUAAUCGAGUGUCCUGNGCUGCUGUCAGGUUUACUUUGAAAAAAUUAGAGUGCUCAAAGCAGGCUUUACACGCUUGAAUAUUCGUGCAUGGAAUAAUAGAAUAGGAUGUGAUUUCUAUUUUGUUG